rnacentral:rRNA from 1 species
UACGGGGGGGGCAAGCGUUGUUCGGAAUUACUGGGCGUAAAGGGCGCGUAGGCGGUUGGAUAAGUCAGCUGUGAAAACCACGGGCUUAACUCGUGGCCUGCAGUUGAGACUGUCUGGCUUGAGUGUGGGAGAGGAGAGUGGAAUUCCUGGUGUAGCGGUGAAAUGCGCAGAUAUCAGGAGGAACACCGGUGGCGAAGGCGGGUCUCUGGGCCGAUGACUGACGCUGAGGAGCGAAAGCGUGGGGAGCGAACAGG